CAAUUUUAACAGCUCGAGCCUAACAACCAAGUAAGAUUUACAACCUAAAAUGCAUCUACUUAGCUAGGAUAGGCCAUGACUUACAAAUCGAUCGAGGGACUCACUUGUUAACGAUAUGCGAUGCUACAUACUUUAUUUUUUGAGGACCUCGCGUCCCCCUGAGGGUCAUUGGAAACAGAAUCGAACAAAAUCAUAUCAUUAACAUAUCCAUCCACAUAUCGGGUCUCGAGUUAGCUCUGAUACCAAUUUUAAUAGCUCGAACCUAACAACUAAAUAGAUACUCUUCGCUUUAGGCACACCGUCUAUCACGAUUUUGUUAUUGGGCUAAUAUAUCUACUUAGUUAAGAGAGCCCAUGACUUGUAACUCGCUAGUGAUAUCAGAUAUUAGUAUGGCCUAAUUGUAACAGCACAAGCCCAAUAACCAAGUAGAUAUUGUUUACUUUGGGUAUAUAAAGCCUCUGUCCAAACCACAAAACAACAUUUUCAUCAUUCCUAAACUAUGAACCUCUAACCUUUAGUGCUUUAUCAAUUUUUCUUAAUUGUGGAUUUUGACACUAUGCAGCCUUAAUCUUGUCAAUCAAGAUAAGCUGAACACUCAAAUGAGAUAAAACAUAAGGCUGUCUAGGAAACUAUUUCAAUACUUAUCUUUUUCAAAUUCUCAAGUAUGUGACCCUGAGCCAAGCAACUGAAGACUUCUUACUAAGAGCAUCAACCACUAUAUUCGCCUUACCAAGAUGAUAAUUAAUUAAGUAACCAUAAUCUUUCACUUGCUCUAACCAUCUCUUUUAUCUUAAAUUAUAUUCUUUAUGGGUGAACAAGUAUUUCAAACUCUUAUGAUCUCUAUAGACUUCACAAGUUUCACUAUAAAGAUAAUGUUUCCAAAUAUUUAAGGCAAAUAUCAUAGCUACUAACUUUAAAUCAUGAGUUGGAUAAUUCUGCUCAUAAUUCUUUAAUAGUCAAGAUACAUAUGAAACCAAUCUAUUAUUUAAUUCUCGAAAGCUCCUCACGCAUUUGUCACUACAUUGAAAUUUGACAUUCAUCUUAGUCAAUUUUUUAAUCAAGUUGCAAGACUAGAGAAUCCAUUAAAAAAAACUGCUUGUAAUAACUAGCCAAACCUAAAAAUCUUCUAAUCUCAGUAACAUUAGCCGGUUUUGGCCAAUUUACCAUGGCCCCAGCCUUGCCUGGAUCAACAGAGAUGCUCUCCUUAAUAACAACAUGCCCUAGAAAAACUAUUGGGUUGAGCCCAACUUACACUUCUUGAACUUUACAUAGAACUUCUUUUCUCGGAUUGUUUAAAGAACCACCCUUAAAUAUUCCUCUUUGCUCUUCUACAAUUUUAGAGUAUACCAAAAUUUCAUUGAUAAAAGCAAUGAUAAAUUGAUCAAGGAAAGACUAAAAGACUCUAUUCAUCAAGUUCAUAAAAGCCAAAAGGCAUCACACAAAACUCAUAAUGCUUAUACCAAGUUUGAAACGUUGUCUUAGGCACAUCCCUAUUCUUCACUUUUAACUGAUGUAUGUAAUGUCCCACAUCGCUAGUGAAUGAGUUCUUAGAUUGGUAAAUAUUGUUCAAACUUAUAGAACAAUUCAAGAACUCACUCCAUCGAUUUAGGAUAUUACAUAUGUGAUGGAUUGAAUGCCGAAAAUAGACAACAUCUACUUAGUUUUUGGGCUCAGGUUGUCACAAUUGCUAUUAGAGAUAACUCAUAAUCUAAUAUAUGGAUGGAUAUGAUAAUGAUAUAAUUUUAUUCUGUUUUAUUUCCAAUGACCCUCAUGAAGAUGCGAGGUCCUCAAACAAGGAAGUGUAUAAUAUCUUACUUUGCUAGGGAGUGAAUUCUUGAAUUAGUUUAUAAGUCAUAGUCUUUCUUAACUAAGUAGACAUGUUUUGGGUUACAAAGCCUAAUAAAAAACCAUGAUAGGCUAUGUGUUCAAUAUGUAUAGUAUCUACUUGGUUAUUAUGUUCAGGUUGUUACAAUUUGUACUAGAGCCAACUCGUGACCUAAUGUGUGGAUGGAUAUAUUAAUGAUAUGAUCAAUCUAUAUGCGGAUGGAUAUUUUAAUGAUAUGAUUUCAUUCCAUUCUAUUCUUAUUGUGGAUCCUGCGCCCAAUGACCCUCAGAAGGAUGCAAAAUCCUCAGUGGAGAAAGUAUGAGAUAUCCCAUAGUGCUAGUGAGUAAGUUCCUAGAUUGAUUUAUAAGUCAUGAGCUUUCCUAACUAAGUAAACACAUUUUGUGUCGCAAAGUCUAACAACAAAAUCGUGACAAGUGUGCCAAAAACAGACAAUGUUACUUGACUUUUGGUCUUAGGCUAUUAAAAUGAGCUCCUGGAUUUGUUUAUAAGUUGUGAAAUCUCCUAACUAGGUAGGUGUUUCUUGGGUUGCAAAGCUCAAUAACAAAAUCAUGACGGUUGUGCACUCAAAGCAGACAAUAUCUACUUAGUCAUUGGGCUUGGGCUAUUACAAUUAGUAUCAGAGACAACUCGUAUCCCAAUGUGUGGAUGGAUAUAAUUUUGAUUUCCGUUCUAUUUCUACUGACCCUCAUGAGGGCGCAACGUCCUCAAGAGAGAAAGUAUGCAAUAUCCCACAUCAAUAACAAGUGAAUUCCUGGACUGAUUUAUAAGUCAUGGGCUCUCCUAAUUAAGUAAAUGUGUUUUGGGUUGCAAAGCUCAAUAACAAAAUCAUGACGGGCUGUCUGCCUAAAUGAACAAUAUCUACUCGGUUGUUGAGCUCAGGCUGUUACAUAUUUUUUCAAGGGAAUUUUCCAGCUUAAAUGAUCACAAAAGAAAAUAUUAUUAUCAUCUUUUUGUCAGGAGAAUCUUCUAACUUUAUAAAAUUAUCAUUUAUUUGGUAACACACUAUAAAUUGAGAGCCAAACUUAGCGAGUGACUUUUCUUUAAGUUAAAAAUCUUAUUGUCAUGCUCAAAACUUUUUUUGUCAAAUUAUUUUGCAUAUCCAUCUAGGCAAAAGUGGUAAAUAAGGCAAAAAUGGUAAUUGACUGUGAGUAACAAAACGUAAUGACGAUAGCUUGCAGUGGCUAGGGUUUUUCUAUUCUCUUUUAAACAAAACUCACUCAUUUUACUCUUUUUAUUAUAGUUUAUACAUUCAUGUUUAUUAAGAUUCCAAUCAAAUUUAGAUCCAUUCAUAUUUCAAAUGAAAAAACAAAUGUCAUUUUUUGUAGUUAUAAAAUAAUAUUAAUAAUAACAAUAGUAAAUAAAGAGUAAUACUGCACUUUUCAAAUGGUAUCUCAAAUUUGAAUUCCAAAUUAGAAAAUCAAUCAUUCAAUAAGUAAAUAGAAAUAAUGAGAUAUUAUAGAGAACUUGUAUUCAUAAAUAAAGAGUUAUACAAUGUCUUAUAAUAACCAUAGAUUUUGAUUCAUGGUCAUAAGGAUAACCAAAAAAAAUCCCAGCCUAGCCCCACUUGGACCUAUGUAGACUCUUAUAAAAAGGUCCCAAGCGUGACCUGGUCUGAUUAUCAAUCUUAAAUUGUUAUUUUUAUUUUUCUAAAUAUUUAUAUUUUUUCUAAAUAUAUGCAUGUGUAAUUAAAAUCAAAAUUUUUCAUUUUUUAUGGAUUAAAGUAUCCUACUAAUUAUAAAGCAAUUGCAAAUAAAGAACACUUUAAGGUUGAUAAAAUGAAAGAAGCAAGAGAAUAUGGAGAGAAAGUAAGCAAAAGCAUUAAGCAUGUUAUAUGCUUCAUUUGAUUAUGUUAAAAAAUCAUAUGCCUAAUUAACAAUGAUCCAUUAGGAGUGGGCAAAUAAGUUUUCAAUUUGGGUUGUUCGGGUUUCAAUAGGUUUUCAUAUGCCUAAUUAACAAAGAUCCAUUAGGAGUGGGCAAUCAACCAAACAUAAUCACAAAUUUGGGUUCGUAAGAGCUUCUAUUUUUAUUUUUUAUCUUUUGCAAUUUUUCCAUCAACCAACCAUAAUCACAACACGAAUAAAAAAUAACGACAAAGGGUACACUGAAAAUAUAGUGAUAGUAACAUAUCAAAGUAAGAAUAAAAGUGUGAAGAUUCAAGUACAAAAAAUUUGUCAAAAUGGAAGGCUUGACGCCUUGAACUGGAACUAGAAGCCGAGCUUCCACAAACAAUGAGGCACUAGCAAUAACUCUGCAUGUAGUGGCGAGCAAGGACAACGACAAUAGUUGCAGCACGUGUGUUUGUGUGAAGAAGAAGAAGAAGAAGAAGAAUAAAGAUUAGCAGUGGUUGGUUGGCUAUAGUGUGUGUGUUUGUGUGAAGAAAAAGAAGAGGGAAGAGGACAAAGAGGAGGAUGUGACUACUUUGUGUGCUUUGGGUUAUUAUCACAUUUUGAGUUUUUUUUUUCUAUUUUGAAAUUGGAAAAUGAGAGGUGAAGGAGAUCUAGAAUUAUUGAACUAGAUUUAAAAAUUUAGGAUUUUAUUUUUUUCUUAAUUUUAAACAAUCCAAUUGAGUUUUUAAUUCGAUUCAAUUUUAACUUGAACCAAAAGAUUAACCCAGUCCAAUUGUAAAAUUCAACCUAAAGGGGAUCUAGGAUUAAUGCAAACUAAACCGAAAAUCGAAAUAAAUUUUAAGUUUAGUUUAAUUCAGGUUGAACCAAAGUGAAUUCUCACCCUUAUCGUCCAUUAUGUGGUUCUCCCUGCUUUAUCAUUUUUUUAUUUAAUUAAUGGAUAUACAUGUAGGAUCGGAGUUCUGAACUGCAAUUCUAUAUUCCACCAAUCACUGGAUCUAACACUGUUAUAGAAUUCAAUAUAGCAUUAUAAUAACUAUUUUACACUUAAACAUUAUAUGAUUAUAUUAUCCUUAAAAGUUAAGUGACUAUUUUAGCCUAGUUCAAUACCAAAAAUAUCAUAUCAUAUUUCAAUUUUGUUAAAAAAAAAUAUUUUCUUCUUCAUUUUUCUUCUUUGCCACUGGUUCUUGAAUGUUAAAGCAGUGCAGAAACAGGUGGCAAUAGCAUUAGCGUAGUGCUCCCCUGUUGAACCACGGCAUCUACUGCCAAUUUUUCUUUUUUGAGCAUUGGUCUUCUUGAUUUAAAUUUUAUUUGGUUAUUUGUGAAUAUUAUGUUUCUAAGUUUGAUUGUUAUAAACUUGAAAAUAAAUGAUUUUGUUUAAUAAAUUUGGGUUAAAUGUUUAAUGCUUGUAUUUUAUGGCCAAAAGCUAAAUAUUGUGAAGAAGUUCAAAAAUUGGGAUAAAGUAGUAGAAAUUGGAUAUUAAAAAUUAGAAGUUUUGACAGUAAGUAGCUAAGCUUAGUGAAGAAUUUGGUUGUUUGAUUGGUUAGGGAUUAGAUUUCUUACGUUCUCAGUUCAAAGUUGUCUAAGAUGAAUAUAGAUCAAGGUUUUGCAGAUUUUGGUAUUCUAGAAAUGGAAAUCAAAAUAUUUUAUUUUAUAAAAAUAAAAUCUUUCUGGAAUCAAUGAAUUGACAUUUAUGCCCUUUCCAUUUUUAAAUGGAUGAAAUGGCAUUUUUUUUAAAGUCAAAUGAUAGUUUUAUUCUUUUGACAACAUUAAUUAUCUAACGAUGUUAAAACGGUAGUGGAAGAAUGAGACAUUUUAUAAACUCCAAGUGAGUUGCUGCUAUAUAUAUACAUAUACACACACACACACACACAUACAUACACACAUCAGGUAAUCGAUGUACAAUUUUUCCUAAAGAUUUUAAAAAUAUCAGACAAAUGAAGGCCAAGCCUUAGUCAACAAUGGCUAGAAGGGCUGACCCAAUGGGUAAUUUAUAGUUUCCUCGCUUAAGGUUUGAUGCAUCUCCACUUUGAUAGAAAGUAUUAGCGCAUCUCCACUUUCCUCCCUUGCCAUUAGUAUACUGUUUAAAGGUUGAUUUGAUGAUUGAGUAAAAACCCAAAAUGCCCUUGUACCAUUAAAAUCAAAGCUAAGAAAGAUCCGCUGGGCAAUAGCUUCUUGCAAAAAUCGAUGCCAAAGUGUAUAAACAAUAUGAAAUGACAUACUAUCCUUAACAGAUAUCAAUUUGCCUUUGUUGAUCCAAAAAUCAAAAUUCAACAAAAAAAAGGCUUUUAAAAUAUUGAAGAACAUUCCCAAUAUUACCAUUGAAUCGAAACGGGUACAUUGGUAAUGAUUUUGGCUAUUUAUUCAUCACCUUAAUAUUAUCAUUCACAAGUAGUUUGCCUGAAAUUUGCAUCACAACCUGAAACUUAAAACAAAACUCAUUCACUACAAAAUCAUCUCGCCAUUCUCAUUCAUCAUCCAACUCUAUUUUUACAAAGAAUCAUCAACCAUUAAUUUCCUAAACACAAUAAUAAGCACCUAAGCAUACAUGGAAUAUCAAAGCUCAAACACUUCAAGCAAAUCAAACACAUUUUACUAUCAAAUUUGGAGGAAUUGUGUCAAUGGGAAGAUUAUUGGGUACUCAAACAGAAUGUACAAAUGUCUAAUGAGAGCUUAUCUGAAGGUUUCUGAAUCUAAUGACAAUCCACACAAGUUGUAUUAUCAUUUUACCUAGAAGAAAGGUGUGGAUAUUUUAGAUAAUGGAUGAUAAAGAUGACUAACUUUAACAAUGGAUCUAUUUUUUAAAGGGGUAUGGCAACAUUUGUGGAUCAUAAGCUGCUAAAUGCACUUCAAAUGAUGUGGAGGAGCUAAAAGAUAUGCUGAAGAAGUCGCUACAACCACUUAAGGGUUAUACUAUUAUGAAGAUAUUUAUGAUCUUAGAUGUCGUGUUUUUUAUAUUCAAUGUUUUAAUGUACCUAAUGUUAUCCUUCUAGAUUUACCAUUGUUGAAUUCAAUCUAGAAGUAUAUUAUGCCAAAUGGUAUUAUGCCUAACUGUAUUAUGCUUUUAUACACAUAUGUAGCAUGUUGACAAGAUAUGGUUGUACUAAACUCUAUUUAAGAAAAUGAAGGAAAUUUGCUCAUUUGAAACUUUAUUCAAAUAAGAGAAAACAAAUGCAUAUACAUAGAUAUCAAAUAUUAUGUAAUCCUAAGCAAAGCUUAGCUUACCAACUUAAAGUCAGAGUAUAACAACUAAGCCAAUGCUUCCAACAUAUUUUCUUAAUGAGAAAACUCAAUCAUCAGUAUAUUUUGUACUAAAAUAUCACUAACAAACAAAUAAACUAAAGACUGAAUAACCUGGACAUCAUUCUUUAAAACAUACAAAGCAAAAGAAGUAAUCUGAAUAUUUCAUUUCAGUAGCAAUAUUAGUUUAAGCAAUUAAAUCAAGUUGUACCUAUAAGUACCUAUUAAAAGCUUGUUAUGGUUAGCACUAAGAAUGGCGGCAUUGGCCUUGUCAAGCUAGUGAGUUUAACAACUUCUUACCAUACAUAAAAUACACAAAAGCUCAAACACACAUCUAAAGCUAAGUGACAAAAGAUGAUACAACGUCUUCAUCAUUUUAAUGCUUACAAUUUAAAGGUGACUCAUCAUCUAAGGAUGGAAAAAUCUAAGUUCGAAUCUAGGUUUUGCCUUUUCGCUUUUAGAACCAAAUGGCAAUUUAUGAUACCAGAUUUGGAUGUAGACCCAGAUUUUUAACUCUAGGUGUAGGCUGGGUUAAACCCAGAAAGAUCUGGGUUCUUGAAUUGUGGAUUUUAAACCCAGAUAGCUUUAUGAAAUGAAGUCAGACAAUUUUUUUUAAAUGAAUAUGUUUUUGUUUAAAGUUUAAAUAAAAUAAAAAAUAAAUCGAACUAAAAAAUCAAUUAACAUAAGUUUACAAUUCAAAUAAGUAGUCUAAAGUCUAAAAUCUUCACCAUCUUUAUAAUUUAAGGUCUUAUCAAACGAAAGCAAAUUCCCAUACUACAUGUUGACCAAGCUUUAGACUAGAUACAUAUAUGACAAACAAAGUAAUAGAGCAAGUGAUAAAUGUCUAAAUGCAUGAGCUUAGCAAGGUCUGGUCCAACAAAACCAAAUCAGCUUACUAUAAAACGACCUCAACUAACAGAAAAGCAUCAAGUGUUUACAGCUUAUAAUCUUUCAAGAUUAAUCCUCCUAGCCCUUUUGGUUUUAUCGAAGUUGAUGCAUGUUGUUGGUUUGAGUUUUGUCUAUGAAUUAACAUUCAAAUCAUGAAUAAAUUGAAAAGAUAAAUAAAUAAAUCAAGUCCGACUUCCUUUUAUGAAAUUAAUUUAUACUAACAAAGAUAAGUAAAUCAAGCUUGACAUCCAAUUGUGUUUGUAAUCUUUUUUUGUUCUUGAUUUAUAAGGCAACAAAGUAAGAUUCAAAUCGAAAAGUACAAAACUUAAACCAUUUACCUUAAAUUACCUGGCUGGCUAUUUUGCUUAAAGUUCAAACACUUCCAAUUGGGUUCGUAAUCUUCUUUUACUCUAGGUUUUGGCUAUGUAAAAGAACUUAAACCAUUAACAGAGAUGAUGAUUGAUGAUAAAUUGAUGACGAUGAUGAUUUGUAUCGAUGAAUUUGGAUGGGGUAUUUAUUAGAGUCAAAGUUUGACUAGGAAUUGAGCUAGCAGAGGGACUGCAAACCUAUGGGCUUUCCAGCUCCAACUUAAUAGUCGAGGCCUAGUUAUCUAAUGACAUACUGAAACUAUUAAGUUAAUCCCAAGUUAUUCCACUAAAAGCCUAAAGUUGCACUCUAGUAACCCAUGUAAUUGAAUAAAACCCCAACUAAUUAAAACUCCUUUUAAUUAAUUUUACUGUCUUGACCAAUAUAGCCACUUAAUUAACCCUCUAUAUGAUGCUCAUAAUUAAAGUUUGGUCGUUGAUAAAUGUUGUUUCUCUAUUAAUUACAUAUUUACCCCUAACUCACUAUUUGUUCUAAUGAUCGUUUUUAAUGUAUCUACACUUGUAAAUAAAUUUACAAAUAAAUAUUAUUGUUCAACAAACAAUUUAUUGAAUAAAUUGGGGUCAUAAAUUUAAAUAAUCAAGUACCACAAACAGUUUAGGUAAACAUCAAUAGUAUAGAUUCCAUCUUAUAAGUAUAUGUUCCUACGAUCCACAAAAUUACAUCUCCAAGCUAUCGAUGUUUUGACCAUUUAUAUGGAUCUCAUUCCAUGAUAACUCAAAAGAUAUAACACAUGAAUGCAAUUUCAUUACUGACUCAAGAUUACGGUCGAUUAAGCUUAUUAAAGCUUAUGUGAAUUAUGAUCAACGACAUUUGUUAAACUAGAUCAUAAUUCACGAUAGUCCAGUUCAAUAUGCAUAUCACAUAUACAUAUUGACUAUUCUACUCGAAGUCUCGAAUUUAGUGAUCAAGAUAAAAUCACUCACGAUAGAAGUAGAAAAGUUACAACCUUACAUAAUCAAAUGCCCAUUUCAUUAAUAGCUAUAAACAAUAUUUUAUUUAUAAAGAAUCUGUGAUUUAUAUCUUCUAGUAUUAACAAAAUAUGCCAAUACAUAAAUCACAUGCUUUACAAAUAAGGGCUAUUAAUAUAUGCUCAAUAUGAAUUGUGAAUAAAUAAGUUUUAUUAAAAUUAGAAAAUGUUAUUACAACUAAUGUUCCAAGAGCAUAAUAAUAACACUAAGUCUAACAAUCUCCCAUUUACUCUAAAGUAUAUCAGGUACUUAUCGAACUCCCAUUUCAUAUAUCUGACUCUCGAACCUCUUAGAAGGCAAGCCCUUGGUGAAUGGAUCUGCUUGAUUCUCUGUUGACGCAAUAUUAGAAACCAUGACUUCACCCUUAUGCACUAAUUCUCGUACUAGGUGAUAUUUCCUCUCAAUAUGUUUCCCUUUCUUGUGGUAUCUAAGUUCUUUUAACUGUGCACUACCCCGCUAUUAUCACAGUAAAGCACAAUAGGCAUCUUAGCACAAGGAACCACCUUAAGUUCUGUAAGGAACUUCCAAAGCCAUACAGUUUUUCUACCAACUUCUAAGGUUGCUACAUAUUUAGUUUCCAUGGUAGAGUUUACAAUACAUAAUUGUUUCACACUCCUCCAACUUAUAGCUCCACCAUAUAAGGUGGACACAUAACUAGAAAAUCUGAAUAUGUAUACCCCAUGGGUACAAGAAAUUUACUAGAGUACACAAGCAUAUAAUCUCUUGUUCUUCGAAGAUACUUAAGUAUUCGAUUUACUGCAAUCUAGUGCUCUGGUCCUGGGUUUGAUUAAUAUCCACUAACCAUACCUACAGUAAAACAAAUGCCUGGUCUAGUACACAGUAUAGUAUACAUAACACUUCCCAUUACAGAUGCAUAAAGAUACUAUCUCAUACAAUCUAUCUUUUCAUGAUUCUUAGGAGACUGAUCCUUAAAUAGACGUGAUUUAUAUCUAAAAUGAAGUAAUUCUUUCUUGGAAUCUUGUAUAGCAAACUUAACUAAAAUUUUGUCAAUGUAAGCAGCUUGGGAUAAACCUAACAUCUUGUUCUUGCAAUCUCGCAAAAGCCUAAUCCCAAUGAUGUAAUUGGCUUCUUCCAAAUCUUUCAUAUCAAAUUGGUUAGAUCAUUAAAUUUUAACUGAUAAUAGCACUCCUACAUCAUUCCCAAUGAGUAGGAUAUCAUCUACAUACAUGGCUAGAAAUACAACCAAACGACCGUCCAUCCUCUUAUAGAUACAAAGUUCAUUAUGAUUUUGAUCAAAACCAAACGAUUUGAUCAUUUGAUUAAAUUUGAUGUUCCAAGAUUUAAACGCUUAUUUUAGGCCAAAGACAGACUUCUAUAGAUUACAAACCAUAUACUUUUGGCCACUAGUUACAAAACCAUCUGGCCACAUUAUAUAUUGCUCUCAUUAAGAUUCCCAUUAAGGAAUGCAGUCUUGACAGCCAUUUGUCAAAUCUCAUAAUCAAAAUUUACAGCAAUGAAAAGAAGAAUAAGAUAGACUAGCAUGGCUACUAGCAAAAAGUNNNNNNNNNNNNNNNNNNNNNNNNNNNNNNNNNNNNNNNNNNNNNNNNNNNNNNNNNNNNNNNNNNNNNNNNNNNNNNNNNNNNNNNNNNNNNNNNNNNNGUAUACAAUCGCCCGAUGAUUAAUUUCGCAACGAGCUAGCUUUGAAGGUCUCCAUCUUGUAAACCCAUUUAUAACCAAUGGGUUUUAUCCCUUCAAGUAUUUCUACAAGCUCCCAAACUUUAUUGAAAAACGUAGAAUCUAUCUUAGAUGUCAUAGCUUUAUGCCAAUAGUCUGCAUCUACAUCAGUCCCCACUUUAUCAUAAAUAAUGGGAUCUAUUUCAUGUUUUUUAGAGACUACUUGAAAAGAUUCUCCAACCAACAUAUAUCUAGUAGGACGUUUAAUAGUCUUCCCACUAUAACGAAGCAAUAGUGGUUGUUGCUCUGUAACUGGAGUACGUUGUUUUUCAGAAUUUGGAUGUAGAAUCUCCUCACUGACUUGUUUAGGCACAAUAUUUGUAUUUCUAGACAAUUUAUUUAAAAUUAUGUUUACUGUUAGGCUUAAAAUCAUUUAUAUAAUCUUCUUCAAUAAAUGUUGCAUUUGUGCUAACAAAAACCUUCUUUUAUACAGGACUAUAGAAAAGACCUCAUCUUGUUCUUUAGCGUAGGCCUUUAAACAAACAAACUUCAAAUCUAGAUUCCAAUUUAUCUGCCUUUCCUUUUAGCACAUCUGCUAGACAACCCCAAAUGUGUAUAUGACGUAAACUUGGUUUACAUCCAUUCCACAUUUCCAAGGGUGUUUUAGGAACUGAGUUGGAUGGAACUAUGUUAAGAAGAUACAUGGUUGUUUCUAAAGCAUGGCCCCAAAACGAGAUUGGCAAAUUUGAAUAACUCAUUAUAAACCUAACCAUUUUAAAAAGUAUUAUGUUUCUCCUUUUGGCUACACCAUUUUGUUGGGAGGUCCCUGGUGUAACUAAGUGUGAUAGAUUCCCAUGUUCUGAUAAAUAAGCCCUAAACUCACUAAAGAAGUACUCACCACCUCGGUUAAAUAAAAUUGUCUUUAUGUAUGUUCUUAAUUGCCUUUCCACUUCUGCUCGAAACUUCUUGAAUUUAUCAAAAGCUUAAGACUUACAGCGCAUUAAGUAUAGAUAACCAUACAUGAAUAAUCAUCAAUGAAAGUGAUGAAAUAUUCAUAACCUCCUCUUGCUUGUGUGUUCAUAGACUCACAUACAUCAAAAUGUACCAAUUCUAACAACUCUAUUACUCUAUUUCUUUUUGCAUUAAAUGCUAUUUUAGUCAUUUUACCUUUUAAAUAAGAUUCACAGACAAGUAAUGGUUCUAAUAACCAAUGAACUAAAACGUCUAUCCCUACCUAGUCUUUGGAUCCUAUCUAGACAUAAAUGGCCUAAAUGCAAAUGCCAUAGAUACGUUUCAAUAGAAAAUAAUUUAACUUUCUUAUGGUGAUUGGAUUUGUUAUUUAAUUCUGUAUCAUGUAGAGAGUUUAUUUUAGGAUACAAGCAGUAUGAAUUGUUAAGUAAAAAAUAGCAUAUUAACCAAAUUUACUUAAUGAACUAAUUGAAAUCAAAUUUCGUUUAAGUUCCGGAACAAAUAAAUAAUCAUCUAAUAUUAAACUCCUAAAAUCAUCAAAAUAAAGAUGAACUACUCCCACUACUCUAGCUACAACAGUUACACUAGUGCCUGGCCUAAAACUGAUCUCUCCAUUACUAAGUGACUUGGUAUUCUGGAACCCCAGCAAUGAAUUGCAAUUAUGAUUAGUGGCUCUAGAAUCUACUAAAUCUAUAAAAUCAACCACUAAACAUGUCUCAAUGAAAAGAACAUUACCUGAAGAUGAAAUUGUCCCCUUAGGUUGAGAACCUUCGCUAAAUAAGUUGGACAAUUUCUCUUACAAUACCAUUUUCUGACUACAAUGAAAUCACUUUCCUUUGGGUUUCUUUUCCUUUUCUGAAUUUUUAUUACCCGUGGGUUUAAUGUCUUUUUGGAUGUAUUCUUCUUCUUUUUCCUAUUGUCCUUUUCUUUAGGAUUAGAGCCAGAAUAAGAAGAUUUGCCCUAAGUUAAAUAAACAAUUGGCGUUGGCUUUAGAAUAGUUUCUGCAACCUUGAACUUAUUAUCAAUUCUGUCAAUGUGUAAUCUUUCUUGCUCAUUGAAAGAUUGAGCUUGAAUGGUUGAGAUGAAGGAGCUAAGGUAGCUAAGACCAUAUCGCUAUGCUCUUCAGCAUUGAAAUUCCCACCCAAUUGACCAUAUCGUUCUGCUCUUCAGCAUCGAAAUUCCCACCUAAUUCCUCCACUUGUCGAAACAUUGCUAUCAUUUUCAUCAUAUGAUCUCCAAAUUGUUGAGCAUUCAUUAUCUCUUUGAUGAUAGUUAACUUCUAAGUCCUAUCCUUUCUAAUGAACAUCUCAGAUAAGCUUAACAUCAUUUCAGCAGUUGUGGGCAUGUCCUCAUGUUGCUUAGACAAGGAACUAGAGAUUAAAGCUAGUAUAUAACACCUUGCCAUCUUGUCAGACUUUUUCUACUUGCUAUAAGCAUCCUUUUUAGCUUGGGUUGCAUUGUCAUCUGGCGUUGGGGGGCAUUUUUGAGUCAAUACAAAUUUGUGUUCUUCGGCUGUGAGGACAAGAUUCCUUUUCCAAUCUAGGUAGUUAGGCCCAAUUAACUUAUUCUGGAUAAGAAUUGUUGCAAGUGGACUAGACGAUAUAUUCUUAGUUCAACAUAAACUAAAUAAAUCAUACGAGCAUAUAUACAUUUUAAAACAUGAAAGUUUAGGGUAAUAAAUAUGAAUGCAUGAAAAGCAUAAGUAGAACUCUAUAACUACUUUAAUUAUGCAUCGGUAAUCUAAUCUUGCAUUAAAUAAGCCUCUGUAGGGUGGUCAUAUUUAUCACUAAUUAGACAAGCAUACUUACAAAUUUAUUAUUACCAUCUAGUUAUUUCAUACCAAAUAAUAAUAAACUACUUAUUAAUUCAACCUCUUAGGUUUAAUUAAUAAGAACUCCGUAAGGAGGAUUUUUUUUUUUAAAUAACAAAAUUAUCACUUAAUAGAACUGAUACGACCAAAGGCCAUGAACAUCUUAGUAGGAGCAACAUCCCACAAAAUAAAAUUAUCCAAUCUAAAACCUAUAUUAAUCAUCAUAUCUGCAACAUCAUUACCCAUAUACUUGGUUAAUAAAAAUUAUUGUUUGCUAAUAUGACAUUUAAACCAAGAUUUAUAUUUUGGUUAUACAUCUACGACUAAUUACUACUUAGAUUUAAUCAAUCGGAGGAAAAUCUGCAGGAAAUUUCCCGAAAACCCGAAAGGGUAGGCAGGUCAUACAUAUACGCUAAAGCAAUCUGCUCCUACCAGCAAAUUGGUCUCUAAAAUUACCUUCAUGGCCUCUUCUUCUUCUUUUUCAUCUUGCAGAUACGAUGUCUUCCUCAGUUUUAGAGGGGAAGAUACCCGUGAUAACUUUCUAAGCCAUCUAGUUGAAGCUCUUCGUCAAAAGAAAAUCAAAUCCUUCAUUGAUAACGAAGAGCUUAGUCGAGGAGAUGGGAUUUCACCUUCCCUUUUGAAAGCAAUUAAGGAAUCAAAGAUUUCAGUCAUUAUUUUCUAAAAGAACUAUGUUGCGUCAAAAUGGUGCUUGGAUGAGCUUGUCAAGAUUCUUGAAUGCCAUGCAAAGGAUUGGCAUAUUGGUCANNNNNNNNNNNNNNNNNNNNNNNNNNNNNNNNNNNNNNNNNNNNNNNNNNNNNNNNNNNNNNNNNNNNNNNNNNNNNNNNNNNNNNNNNNNNNNNNNNNNGGAUUCUAAGAUAAUCGAGUACACACUUAACUCUUAUCUCUUUCAUGUCUCUACCUUUUCUUCAUUAUCUCUUUCGUGUCUUCGCCUUUUUUUCAUUUUGUAUCUACAAUUACUUAAAUCAUGCGUCUAAUAAUACAAUUUGUGUGGUUAAUUAGACUUCCGUAGGGAGGAUAUUAAUAAAUUUAAUUUGAGUGAAUAAUCAUUAUUUCAAUCUUUUAUAUUUCUCAAAUAAAGCAACUGUCAUAGAGCAGUCAGUUUUAAUGAGUCAUACUCAAGAUUUUAUCCUUUAAAGAAGUCUUAUCUAGUAGCCAAUUUUAAUUAAUAUCCUCCGUGGAGAGCUUAUUUAAUUUGAGGCGAGAUAUUAAUCUACUUUACUAUAGAACCAAUAAUGGAGGUUGUGGGCUUUAUGCCUAGAACCCUUUGCCACUCAACUUUUUGUUAGAGAUUUCUUUUAAUAUUCUCAAUUGAUUAUUUAAUUGACAUUCCACCAAUUAAUAUUUAAUUUUAUAAAAAAAUAAAAUAAUUAAUUAGGUUAGGUGAAUAUUAUAAUCAAUUUAAUAUUAGAUCAUGAUAUUAAUCUUAUUCUAAUCUCGUUAGACUAUUAAUAUCAAAAUUUAUGUAUAUGCAGGAACAUGUGAAUGUGGCACCCUCUUAAUCUGAAUGACAUGUUGUUCAUCCACUCAAUUAAUCGAAUAAGUAAACAACUUAGAAAAAAUCACAUUAACUUUAUGUCUAAUUUUCAUUGGGCUUCCUGUUAAUGUUCUUUUUUUCAAAUACUUGAUUAAUGAGCUAGGACUGCUUGGGUUUUAAAAUUUAUUAUUGUUCCAUUUAAUUUUAUUUUAAAAUAGCAGAACCAUAAUUUUGAAAUAACUUUGAAUAAAAUUUUUGGACCAAAAUAAAAUUUAAUAUGUUAAACUUUAAAUAUGUGUUUUAAUCCACCAAGCUCAAUUUAUAACGGACCUAAAUCUAGCAUUCGUUAAGCUUAAAAGGGGUUUAAGACUUAAAUGCAAGUCUCCUUCACCAUUCUGCCCAAAAAGCAAAUUAUUUUGAAAUUCAGGGACCAUAGUGAUAGAAAUCACCAAAUCCCAUGUCCAGCCUUUUCUUUUUCAGCCGCCGACAUCAAAACCAGCCACCAUGUGCAAAAUUCGCUGUCCAGCCGGAGCUUUGCCGUGGUCCAGCCACGCUCCUCGUCGCUGGAAGCAACCCGUGAAGCCACUGAGCUGCCUAAGGCAGCCGUAACUCUCGCGCACCGCAGCGGCUACACGCCACCAUCCCGUGACAAAACACAGCCCUCGCCGGAGCUUGAUAAGAAGCUACGCAGAACUAAUCGUGUAGCCAAGCCCAACAGCAAGUACUUGGAAUAUGCAUGGGCACGUCAUUAGCCAUGCAACCUUUGAGAUGAUGAUUUGGAGCUGACUUCUUCAAAUUAACCGUUGCUUAUUUGGAGGAGAUCUUUCAUGCAAGUAUUUGUUUUGGAAUAAUAGUCAGGUUGUUGAGAUGUUGUUAACGACUUGAUUUAGCUAGCUUUGUUCAAGCCUUGUUUCACUGCUAAGGAAAUUAAUUUUGUAUUAGACUAUAAAUAAGCUCUUUUAUUCAAUAAUAAGAUCAUCAGAUUUUUAUUCCAAAAACAUUAUUUGAGGUAGUUCUCGCCCAAAGAAGAACAAGCAAUUUACUUUGUCAAUUCUGCUAGCUUUGACUGGGACCUCUAUUAGUGGUAUCAGAGCUAGGUUAGGAUGGCAACCAACAAAGAGCGUAUCGAGCGAAUAGAAACAGAGGUCGGAGAUAUACAAGACAAGAUGCAACGGAUGGAGUUGGGGAUCAAUGACAAAUUGGCACACAUUGAGGCAACAUUAAGCAAGCUUGCGGACUCAAUUAAUACUUCAAGAGGGUCGCCAAGUAUCAACAACAAUAAUGCAUCUUCACGACUGGGCCGAGAAGUCAGUACAGGAGGGCCUCAACAUUUCCAAUCCAAGGUAGCAAAACUAGAAUUCCCUCGCUAUUCGGGCGACAACCCCACCGAAUGGUUCAAUCGUGCAAGUCAGUUCUUCGAAUACCAGGAAUCAACAGACGAUCAGAAAGUGGUUCUAGUGUCAUUCCACUUGGAGGGGGAAGCAAAUCAGUGGUGGCAGUGGCUUCGAAGGUCUUAUCAAGAUGAAGGCAAAGUCGUGACUUGGGAGGUGUUUGUGGAGGAGUUAUGGGCAAGGUUUGGACCGACAGACUGUGAAGAUUUCGACGAGGCUCUCUCACGUGUUAAACAAACCAGUACUCUCUGUGACUACCAGAAGGAAUUUGAACGACUCGGAAACCGUGUUCAAGGCUGGACACAGAAGGCACUUGUUGGCACAUUCAUGGGAGGGCUUAAACCAGAGAUAUCUGAAGAAAUUCGGCUGUUUCGACCGAGGACUCUCAAGGAAGCAAUCAGCUUGGCAAGAAUGAGAGAUGAGCAAAUGACCCGACAACGGAGACUGUUGAGAUCACCAAUCUUCAAUCGUUCACCAACGGCUCAAGUCACCAACCAACGUGCUUCACUAACAGUACCCUUUAAGAGACUUUCUUGGGAGGAGAUGCAAAAACGCAGGUCACAAGGAUUAUGUUUUAACUGUAAUGAAAAAUUCUCUGCAGGUCAUAAGUGCAUAAAGGCGCAGUUGUUAAUCUUAGAAGCGGGUGAUAACGAAGAGUCCACAGAAACAAUGCAACAUGAGUAUGAGACAGAAGAGCACGACAAACCUAAAAUAACAUUUUAUGCUUUGGCGGGUUGGGCUGCUCCUCAGACAAUGUGAGUGAAAGCUAAGAUUGGGCCACACGAGAUCAUUGUACUAGUGGACAGCGGCUCAACGCACAAUUUUAUCUACUCGCGUUUGGCUAAUAUGCUUCAGCUCCCAGUUCAACCGACAUCAGCAUUUCCAUUAAAAGUGGCCAACGGAGAGAAAGUUAUUUGCCAGGGGAAACAUGACAAGGUACAUGUUUUAAUUCAGGACAUCCCUUUUGAACUUACUCUCUACUCAUUGCCGAUUACAGGACUCGACGUGGUGCUUGGUGUCCAAUGGCUUGAAAGCUUAAGGUCGGUGGUUUGUAAUUGGAAACAAUUGACAAUGGACUUCGAUUGGGAUAAUGCUAAGCGAAGGUUGCAAGGGCUGGAUCCACAAACAAUUCAAGCUACAACAUUAUCUGAAGUCACCAAAGAUAUGAAACAAGGGCACAACAUGUUUGCUAUAUGUCUCUAUUUAAACAAUGAGGAAUCAUAUGCAGUAGCACCGGCCAGCAUGAGGAGUUUGCUAGAAGAAUAUUCCGAGCUGUUCAUGGAGCCCAAACAACUCCCACCAACACGGGAAAUCGACCACCAAAUCACUCUUAAAGAAGGAACAGAACCAAUUAAUGUGAGACCCUACUGGUACGCUUAUUUCCAAAAAGCGGAGAUUGAGAGACAAGUGAACGAAAUGUUAUCUUCCAGACUCAUUCGACCAAGCACCAGCCCCUUCUCAUCACCGGUACUCCUAGUAAAAAAAAAAUAGCAGUUGGAGGUUUUGUACGGACUACAGAGCACUCAACGAGGCCACAGUAAAAGACAGAUUUCCAAUACCAACAGUAGAAGACAUGUUAGAUGAAUUGCACGGUGCAACAUUCUUCACCAAACUAGACCUCAGAGCCGGCUACCAUCAGGUACGGCUAAACUCAUCAGAUAUAUAUAAGACGACUUUUCGCACACACAAUGGCCAUUAUGAAUAUAUGGUCAUGCCAUUCGGCUUAUGCAAUGCUCCCUCUACUUUUCAAGCAAUUAUGAAUGCUAUUUUUCGGCCCCAUCUUCGAAAAUUUAUAUUGGUAUUUUUUGACGACAUCUUGAUUUAUAGUCCCACAUGGGAAUGUCAUUUGAAACACGUUAGACAAACCUUGGAAAUUCUUAAACAGCAGUAAUUUUUCGUCAAGGCUAGCAAGUGCAAUUUUGGCCAGCAAGAACUUGAAUAUUUGGGACACAUCGUCACUUGCCAUGGUGUGAAGGUGGAUGAACGGAAAAUUGCAGCAAUGGUGUCAUGGCCAAAGCCACGGAAUAUUACAGAGCUAAGGGGAUUUUUAGGCCUAACAGGGUAUUAUCGCAAGUUCGUUUGUGGGUAUGGCCUGUUAGCCCGGCCCCUAACCAAUCUUCUUAAGAAAGGACAAUUUAGGUGGAAUACUGAAGCUGUAGCAGCAUUUGAGCAUUUGAAACUUGCCAUGACUCAAACUCCAGUACUUUCUAUGCCUAAUUUUACCGAUGUUUUUGUUAUUGAAACUGAUGCAUCCGGUGAUGGCAUAGGAGCAGUACUGCAGCAAAACGGCAAACCAAUAGCUUACAUGAGUCGAGCGUUGGGUAUAACAAAAAAGAUUUGGUUGACAUAUGCAAAAGAGAUGUUGGCAGUGGUAGAGGCGGUCAGAUUUUGGAGGCCUUAUUUAUUGGGGCAACGAUUUGUGAUACAAACAGAUAAAAAAAGCUUAAAAUAUCUCUUGGAGCAGAAGAUAGCAACUCCUGAUCAACAGCAAUGGAUGGUCAAACUCAUGGGUUACGAUUACGAAAUCCGAUACCGCCCCGGCAAGGAAAAUGCUGCUGCCGAUGCACUCUCUAGAAGAACUGACAGCCCAACUCUUAAUCAUCUUUUUGUACCGCAGGUGUCACUAUGGGGAGAAAUUAAAAAGGCUAUGCAUGAAGAUGAUUAUCUAAAGAAGAUUGCACAACAAGCUGAGACUCAACCCGACGGCCCUUACACGGCAAAAAACGGCCUCAUAUUCUUCAAAGGCAGGGUAGUAGUUCCACGGAAGAUGCGUGACUUAUUAUUAUUUGUGGCCCACAAUACGAAAAUAGGAGGGCAUUCCGGAGUCCUUCGCACUUACAAACGCCUGGCGCAGCAAUUUUACUGGCCCUCAAUGUUUCAAUCCGUUCAUGAUUAUGUAAGUAAGUGCGUUGUUUGCCAGAAGACUAAGAGUGAAACGCUGCAACCAGCAGGGCUUCUUCAACCAUUGCAUGUUCCUUGCCAAGUCUGGGAGGAUAUUUCUUUAGAUUUUAUUGAAGGGCUGCCUAAUUCACAAGGAAGAGAUACAAUAUUUGUGAUAGUCGACAGGCUCAGUAAAUUUGCACACUUCCUUUCCUUGUCUCACCCAUUUACUGCUAAAUCUAUUGCUGAAAGAUUUGUUGACGGAGUAGUAAAACUACAUGGCAUGCCCAAGAGUAUUGUAAGUGAUCGGGAUCCAAUAUUUAUUAGCAAAUUUUGGAGUGAAUUUUUUACACUGUCAGGCACACACUUGAAGAUGAGUUCAGCCUAUCAUCCGCAAACGGACGGCCAAACAGAGGUUGUUAACAGAUGUCUGGAGCAAUAUUUACGCUGCUUUGUGCACCAGUGGCCAUGCAAGUGGAACAUGUAUCUGUCGUGGGCUGAGUUUUGGUACAAUACCACUUUUCAUGUAUCCACCGGAAUGACUCCUUUUCAAGCUCUCUAUGUGGCCACGCAAGUGGAACAUGUAUCUGUCGUGGGCUGAGUUUUGGUACAAUACCACUUUUCAUGUAUCCACCGGAAUGACUCCUUUUCAAGCUCUCUAUGGCCGGCCUCUACCUUCUAUCCCCAUGUAUUCGAUCGGGUCUUCCCCGGUUCACGAAGUUGAUCACGCCUUACAGACCAGAGAUGAGUUAUUGUGGCAACUAAAAUCUAACCUUAUUGCAGCGGCUAAUCGAAUGAAACAGACGGCAGACAAGAAAAGGAGGGAUGUCGAAUUCAAAGAAGGAGACAUGGUGUACUUGCGCUUGCAUCCCUACCGGUAAUCUUCAGUUUUUAAACGUGCACAUCAAAAAUUAUGCAGCAGGUAUUUUGGACCAUAUCAAAUAAUUCAAAAAGUGGGGCAUGUAGCUUAUAAGCUCCAGUUGCCAGAGGGUGCCAAGGUCCAUUCUACAUUUCAUGUUUCAGUACUAAAAAAAGCAAUGGGAGAUUCGACAGUGAGCAGCACGGAGUUACCUCCUACAGAUGAUGAAGGUGUGCUGGAUUUGGAACCUAAAUUAGUUCUGGACACUCGGUGGCUUAAAAGAGGUGGUAAUGUUAUUGAGCAAAGUCUGAUUCAAUGGAACAAUCUACCAAUGGAAGAGGCCACUUGGGAAGAUACUACCGUCAUUAAGCAACAGUUUCCUUCGCUGACCUUGAGGACAAGGGUCCUCUUCCACGGGGGAGUGAUGAUAAGAAGCUACGCAGAACUAAUCGUGUAGCCAAGCCCAACAACAAGUACAUGGAAUAUGCAUGGGCACGUCAUUAGCCAUGCAACCUUUGAGAUGAUGAUUUGGAGUUGACUUCUUCAAAUUAUUCGUUGCUAGGAAUAUGCAUGGGCACGUCAUUAGCCAUGCAACCUUUGAGAUGAUGAUUUGGAGUUGACUUCUUCAAAUUAUUCGUUGCUAAGAAUAUGCAUGGGCACGUCAUUAGCCAUGAAACGUUUGAGGUGAUGAUCUAGAGCUAACUUCUUCAAAUUAACCGUUGCUUAUUUGGAGGAGAUCUUUCAUGCAAGUAUUUGUUUUGGAAUAAUAGUCAGGUUGUUGGGAUGUUGUUAACGAAUUGAUUUAGCUACCUAUGUUCAAGCCUUGUUUCACAGCUAAGGAAAUUGGUUUUGUAUUAGACUAUAAAUAAGCUCUUUUAUUCAAUAAUAAGAUCAUCAGAUUUUUAUUCCAAAAACAUUAUUUGAGGUAGUUCUCGCCCAAAGAAGAACAAGCAAUUUACUUUGUCAAUUCUACUAGUUUUGACUAGGACCUCUAUUAGAGCUUUACAUUGCCGUCCUCACACGGUGCACCACAUCAUCCAUCACUGCCAGCAGCUCAAGCCACCAGCCCGCGAGCAGACGCGCGAGAGAGCCAGUCAUCAGUGUCACCACUCCCGAGCACAAAUUGCUCCACUGCCGCACACAAUUUUCGCUGCUGGCUAUCCGUGGUAACGCCGGCGACAUUGCGGCUCUGUGCAUAUGUUGACUUUGUUGUUCUUGUUCUAGGUUUUUAAAUAUUAAUUUUUUUUAUUAAGUAGAAACAGAAUUAAAACCCAAAACUGAACAAGAACCAAUACGAGCAUUAACCAUGGAACAGAGCAAACUACAAGUUAUAAUUGAAUAUAAAUAACAGCAUAAAGAUUAAUGCGGCACCACAAUCUAUUACAAUCAUACAUAAAAUUAAAUGAUACAUGUAUGAUGAAUUAGGAUGGUUAUGAUAUGAUCUUAGAAAAAUAAUUUUUUUAUUUUAUAAAAUAAGCAGAAGCCAGGAAUUUUUCUUAAUUAUGUGUACAUUUGUAGGAUAAGAGAAAUACCUUAGAUUUCUGCUGAAGAACUAAAGAAGAAGAUUGCAAUCUUCUCUCCUAUACUCAAUUUGUUUGCAAUCUUCUCUAUUAUAUUGAAUUAUCUCCCUCACACGUGUGGGUGUAUAAAAAAUCGUAAUUUGUGUGCCGAACAUGGAAAUCUUAGAACUGUAUUUUUCUUAAUUAAAAAGGUUAUACUUUUAUUCUGAAUUCAACUUUUUUAUAUAGAGUUAGUUUGAUUAGAAAUUGAGUUAGUAAAGGGACUGCAGAGCGAAACUUAAUAGUCAAGGGCUAGUCAGCUCAUGACAAACCGAAACUACUAAGUUAAUCUUAAACUAUUCCAUUAAAAGCUUAAAAUUGCACUCUACAAACUCAUGUAAUUAAAUAAAAACUCAACUAAUUAAAACUCCUUUUAAUUAAUUUUAGUUUUAGUCUUUAAACCAAUAAUAGCCACUUAAUUAACCCUCUAUAUGAUACUUAUAAUUAAAGUUAGGACGUUAAUAAAUGUCGUGCCUCCAUUAAUUACAUAUUUACCCCUAACUCACUAUUUGUUCUAAUGAUCACUUUUAAUAUAUCUAUAUUUUUAAAUAAAUUUAUAAAUCAAAAUUAUUAUUCAACAAACAAUUUAUUGAAUAAACUACAGCCACAUAUUUAAAUGAUCAAGUAUCACAAACAGUUUAGGUGAGUAUCAAUAAUAUAGAUUCCAUCUUGUAAGUAUAUGUUCUUACGAUCCAAGAAAUUACAUUUCCAAGCUAUUGAGUUUUUGACUGUUUAUAUGGAUAUCACUCUGUGAUAACUCAAAAGAUAUGACACAUGAAUGCAAGUUCAUUACCGACUCAGGGUUAAGGUCGAUUAAACUUAUUAAAGCUUUUGUAAAUUAUGGUCAACGACAUUUGUUAAAUUAGAUUAUAAUUCACUAUAGUCUGGUUCAAUAUGCACAUUGCAUAUACAUAUUAACUAUUCUACUAAAAGUCUCCACUUCAGUGAUCAAGAUAAAAUCACUCAUAUAGAAGUAGAAAAGUUACAGCAUUACAUAAUCAUAUGCCCAUUUCAUUAAUAGCUGUGAACAAUAUUUUAUUUAUAAAGAACCUAUGAUAUAUAUCUUCUAGUAUUGACAUUAUAUGCCAAUGCAUAAAUCACAUACUUUAUAAAUAAGGGCUAAUAAUAAAUGCUUAAUAUGAAUUAUAAAUAAAUAUGUUUUAUUAAAAAUAAAAAAUAUUAUCACAACUAAUUCUUUAAGAGCAUAAUAAUUACACUAAGUCUAACGUAUACAACUGGAAUUUGAUGUGUGCUACAUGAUUGAUGCUCUAUAACUCUGAUAUAUGAUUAUGGAAUUCAGUUGAGUUGGAGCUCUACAUCCUUUCCAAAAUGAGAACUUCAAAGACAAACAAAGGAACUUCUCCUUGAAGUUGGCAUCAAUAUGCCAACAACAAUACCUCCUCAAUGAAUCAGGGAAGAUCAUCUCCAACACCCUCAAACAACAAUUUUGUUUAUCACUCAUAAAACACAGGCCCGUACCACAUUACAACCUAUUUGCACAUACAUUGCUCAUACAACCUCUUUAAAGAACACAUCCAUGACUCUAUGAUUUCAAUUUUUACAAUACACAUACCAAGUGAAUAGAUACCGUAAAUUGGCAUUAAUAUUAAUAGCAAUCAACAAUAUGUUGUUGUAUAGACCCUUUGAAAACAAACCCUUAAUAUAAAUGCCAUCAAUUCUUAUAAAUUUUCUACAUCAUUCAAAUAAUCCUCUUAUAUUUGCAUCAAAUAUCGCAAAAAACCUCCUAAAAAUUAGGGUACUAACCACCAACUAAUCAAUCUCUAUCUAAUGAAACAAUUGACCCGAUUAAAGUCCAAUAUUGCAUGAAUAUACCUGAAUAACUUAUUGUAGCUUGCCUUAUGAUCCUUUCCCAACAGCUCUAAUGAUUUGUUCUUUGCACUGUAGAGCCUUGUAUUAUAGCAUUUGAUCCCAAUUUAGCAGUUAUAAUAUCUACGGUAAUUUGGUUUUUGCCUUUGACUAGAUGAAGAAAUAUCAUAGCAAUCCAAGUAGAAAUAGCUUUAUGAUCGUUUUUGUUUCUUAAGCAUUUGCUUAGGUUGGAAAGACUUGAUCUAGAAGUGCCUUUUAUUCUAAUUAGGGUUGGCUCAUAUUCUCUAUAUGUUGCCUAUAGUUGCACGUUUUAGGGUGACCAUUGGCUUUUCAAUUUUUAUCCUUUGUAGCCUAAAACUAUUUUGAAUUGCAAAUGCCUUGAUUGUUUUUUUAACUCAUCAGUGUGUUUGUAUAGUUGACCGACCUCUAAGUUAAUUUUCAUUCUAUCUCUGCUGAACACAAACCCCCUGAAUUUUCCUCAUAUUUGUUAUAAGCUUCCCUUGCAUCAUCCUCAGAUUGGCAUUUGAUUCAGCUCUACUGUCAUUUCUUGACCAAUUGUCAUCAAGACUAAUGGUCCAUCCAUCAUUAAUAUAAUUUGCAAGAUCAAAUCCACCAACACCUCAGUGUCCCUUUUGUAAUCUCCAUCUUCUAGUGCAUCCACAACUUCACCAUUGGAAUCUUCAACAAUUGGUUGCUCAUGAAAUGAGCCUUGAAGUAUUUUAAGUGUAGCAUGUAGAUCGUCAUUAAGGUCUAGCACAACAAACACAUUUAAAUAUGCAAAAUCAAAUUGCUCAUUGAAAUGAGCAGGAAUUUGAUCUUUAGGCGAUAUCAAGUUUCAUCCUUCUCUCCAAUAACAACUUCAUUUGCUUGUUUAGAUGUAUUUGAUGCACAAUCCAACGUACUUGUAACUAUGAAAAAUGCCUAUUUAUAAGGCUUUUCCCUUAAUUACUUAAAAGCAUCUUGGAGAUUUGAGUGUAGCUGCAAAUCAAUAUUUCUUGUCUCCGAUGGUAGCAUAACCUUAAAUUUCACUUCUUUGACUUGUCUAACUAGACUGUCAAAAUAAAUAUCCUUGAUAUCUUCCCAAAAUUUCUUCAGACUAUAUUGUUCUAAAAUUAUUGACCAUCAACCACUACUUCUAUAUCCAUGUAUAUGAGGGUGUAAAAAGACAAACAUAUCCAUUCAGUAAAAGCAAUUGUCACAAUUACUAAUAUAUUGCUUAUAAUAUCAACACAACUCAACAAUGCAUAGUUUCUUUACAUAUACUAUUAUGUCAACUUUACUCGAGUCAAUACUCUAAUAACUAUACUGUCAAUUUCAAAUUUAGUGCAUUGCAUAUAUCUCAUAUAAUUCAAUAAACGUUAUGAGCACCACAAACAUUCUGAGUAUGUUGUAUCAUUUUCUCAACCUUUGCGAAACUCCAUCAAACACAAACAUUUGAUACUUGCAAAAUUCAUACCAUCACCAAAUAUAAAACCAACACAAUCACUGCAGCAACUAAGCAUAUAUACUAAACAAAUGCCAAAAAAAAAAAAAAAAGCAGAACUCCAUUAACUUAGCUUUUGACAAAUGCAUGCGAAAUUCAUAUUAUCACCUAAAAUCAAACCAACACAAUCAUUGCAGCAACUACGCAUAUAUACCAAACAAAUAUCGUAAAAUCUAUAACUCAAUAAACCUAGUAUCCAACAAAUGCAUACAAAAUUCAUGUUAUCACCUCAUCUUUAGCUUAAAAAAAAUACACAGAAGGGGGAAGCUACAAUUACUUGUCUUGUGGCUCUAAUGCAAGUGGAUGGUAUCUAGGUUGUUGUCGGUAUUUGCUUAUGGUAAUCUAUUCAACUGCAUUUAUUGAAUUUGUCCUGCUUGUUAUUGAUUAAGAUUAAUUCAUGUUCAUCCUAUUAAUAGCAAUUUCAAAUUUCUUCAAACCACUUGCAAGUAAUUGAAAGGGGUUAUGAGAUUUUUUGCGGCUUCAAUUUGUGUAGAUGAAAGAGAAGAGCAUGGCUUUUGUUUUGAGUAAAAACACAAUAGAUAAAAGGAUGCAUUUGUUACUAUUCAAUGGGAAUUAGAUUGUUUCAAUGAGUUCAUAUUUCCCAAAGUAAAAACUCUUAAAUUUAAAUUUAUCCAAAUAUUUAAUCAAUAAAUUAUGCAAUUACUAACUUGCUCUCUGUGGCUAAUCUUAUACGAAACAACAUACUAACGAUAAAAGAGAAAAAUAGAGAUAUGCUAAUACUUUCUAGGGAAAUUAUCAGCCAUAUACCCUUAAAUGACACCCGUAUCAAACGUGUGUGAACACUUUUCAAGUAUAUCACUCGUAUACCCUAAGUUGACAAAACACUUCUGCCGUCCAUCAAUCCUUUAACUUCCGUUAGAAAGUUAACAGAAUUAUGGCCAAUUGACUAUUUUACCCUGAAACUCAAAAUGAGGUAAAAAGAUAAAUUUACCCCAAAAAUUAAUGUAAAUUUUCAAUACGUAAUUUUUUUAUUUUGUUAUUAACAAUACAUUUUUUUGAUUAAAAAAAUAAAUUAUUAAUGGUACAUAUUAUUAACAAUUAUCCAUAAAAAAAUAUCCAUAUUAUACCAUAAAAAAUUAUUAACAACAUAUUAUUUACAAUUAUACAUAUUAUACCAUAAAAAUUUUCAGUUGGAACUUGGAGGAGUAGAUCUUAAAAAAUUUAGGUUAAAUUUUGGAGGAGUAGAUUCGGUUGUAAAAUAGUUUUUUUAGCAACUAUUAAUAAUUAUUUGAUAAAUGGGAUGACAGGUCAUUUUUAUCAAUAUAUAUCAUAUGAUAUUUCAUUUUUUACUAGGUAAAUGAGAUGACAUAUCAUUUUUUUAAAUCAAAAUUUCAUCAAUUUUAAAAGACUAAAUUAUCCUUAUGAUGUCAGCGCUUGCAAACGGAAGUUAACGAAUGGGUGGACGGCAGAUGUAUUUUGUCAACUUAGGAUAUACGAAUGAUACACUUGAAAAAUAUUCACACACGUUUGAUACGGGUGUUAUUUAAAAAUAUGUGACUGAUAAUUUUUCAACUUUAUAUAAAAGUGGAGAUAUACUAAAACUCAAGUAAGGACCCAAUUGCCAUUAUUGAAUAAGCAGCUUUAGGACUCGUAAGGCGCAAGUUCGUUAAAAUUUUCGAAAACAGAAGUAAGGGCACGUAAGUAAAUAUAAGGGAUAACAAAGGGCUUAAUGUUUAAGCCAAUGGCUGCCGGCAACAAUGUCGCUGCCUAAUUGCCAAAAGUUGACCAAUCAAAAAAUACAUAUUUUCACGACUCAACGUAAGGGCAACUUCAAUCCUCGGUUUAAAAAGAAGGGAUGGGUUUCAAUUAAGCCCAAAUUGAUAAAUAAAUAAAAUAAAACAAAAACGUGUCUUUCAGUAAAAUUAAUAUUUGAACAACCGCUCCCUUAUAAAUUCUUUGUAAAAAUAAAACGUCCAAAACAAGGAAGGAGGCAGCAUUUGUCCGCUUUCGUUUCAACAAAUUAUUACUGAAUUAAACAUUUGCUUGCAUUUAAAAUACUUCUUGGGAUAUUUCCAAACAAGUUAACAGAAAAGAGAAACAAUCCUCUUCUCUUCUGAUUUCAGGACUAAAAUUAGAGGACUAAUUAAAUUAAUCCAUAUUUCAAGUCCCAGCCGCCGGCCAGCUAUUUUUCUUUACGCCCAGGUCAAGUUUCUACAUCUUUAUCUUUUAUCUUCUUUUUUUUUUUUUUGGGUUCCUUCAUUGUGUGAUGGGAAUUGUAAAUCAUGUAGCUGCUGACCUUUUUGGUCUUUGAUAGCCUGAUGCUUAUUAAUUGAAUUAUCUUAUAAUGAUUUGUUUCUCCCGUUUAUAGUUGUGUUUUUUGUUUUUUUAACACUUAUGGAGUUUCUUUUAUUAACUGAAUCGUGUUUUAGCUAAUUGAUUUAAGCAAUAUGGGUUGAGAUGGAAAUCAACCAUAAAAGGAAAUAAUAAAAAGAAAGGAGAAUAAUCUCUCUUUUUUUGUCUCAAAAUGAAAAUAGUUUUUGAAAAAACAAUUUGAGAAAAUGAAACGAUUCCAGUUAAGAGGGACUGUAAAUCAUUAUUUUGCAAGAGCUAGUUAAGAUUUUACACUCAUUAGCAGUUAGAUUCCUGACUGGUCGGUCAUAUAUUUUCCUUUGUUAUACCUGGAUUCUGGAUCGAGUAGCUGCUUAGGGUUGACAUAUAAUCUGAAAAUUGAAGACUGAAAUGGUCGUUAACUUUGAAGCAUGAUAUUUUUGCAGGUUGGAAUUUAGCUGAGGUCAUCGGGACAGACACAUUGGAUCCGGCACACCAUGGACCAAAGUAUUCAACCUUUCUUGCCUAUGAGUGUUUACUUACUUUUUUUUAAUAAAUAACUGCAUGUUAUUACACUGAUUAAUUUGGAAACUGAGUAAUAUCUGAUUUAUUGUCUAGUCUUCAGCAUCUUUGAGAUGGUAAUAGUUGAAGGAAAUGGGUAUUUUUUUUUUUUGACAGUAGAUUUUCUAAACAACAAUUUUUUGACCUUCUUGGUGUCACAGGUACUAAUAUCGGUGAGACAGAGGGUUUAAAAACUGGCCUUGAGUUGGUAAAAUCAGUUUCUGAUAAGCAUCUUGAUCUUUUGAGGCCAUCUGCUCGAUAUUCAAUAUCUAAAGGUAAUGAACCUUCUAGUUGUUUCUUUCCAAGUCAAAAAUUAGAUCAACAUCAUCCUUAUUUGCCUGUUUCAUUUUCCAUCUGUUAAUUCUUGUAUUUCUCCAUGAUUUUCCAUUUGUAUAGCUCCCUCCACUGAAUUGAAAAUCUUGGAAUCAAUGCAGAGUGUUGUCAUAUUAGAGAGUCCUAUAUGUGUGAAGCCACCUAGACUCUGUUGUAUUAUUCUAGAGAUGAAUUGUUUUUUUGCUUUGAAUGGAAAGACGUCAAUAUUUGUUUGUUUUGUGAUAUUUUCCCAUAAAAAUCUAGCUUAAUAUCUUCUCUGCAUGUAAUGAAAAUGCAUCUGCACCAGAGAGCUCCUUUUUCCCCUUUCAAUUGCAUUGAUCUUACUGAAUUCUGCUUCUUUUUUGUUUAUUUUAUUCCCUGUCUACACUUAGAAUUUCAUUAAUUUGCUCCAAUGGUCUAUUAAAGCCCUUAUUUUUCUUGAUCUUACACAUCUUUAUAGCAUCUUGUGCAUUUUAUUAAAUGCUUGUUUAAGUGUACUGAGAGAAACUUUUGUAAUGGUGAGGAAAGCACCAGAUACUGCUGAUCGUGAAAAAGGGAGAUAUACCCUUAUUAGAGAUCCGGAGGACUUCCAAUUUGGGAUUUAUGACAAACCCCUCCCGUGCUUUGGCUGUGGGGUUGGGUGGUUUUCGUGAGUAUUUUUUAUUCAUUUUCCUAUCCGAACCUAAUUAUUGCGGUCUCAUAUUUGUAUCUUUUGUCGCAGUUUUCUCCUGGGUUUUGUGUUUCCGCUGAUGUGGUACUAUGGAACAUUCCUUUAUUUUGGAAAUCACUGCCGCAAAGAUCCUAGGGAGCGAGCAGGCCUGGCUGCUUCUGCAAUUGCUGUGAGUUCUCUCUCAUGUUAACGCUCGGCUAUUAUCACAUCUAAUCAUCGAUUUAGAAUAGUGGAUUCUUAUUAUACUUUUCUUGCACCCAUUCCUGUGAUGUAGCACUGGCAUCUUCAAUGGCGUAGUUAUUUAUAUACUUUAUUGUUAUUGCAGGCAAUGGCAUGUUCUGUUGUGAUGUUGGUCAUAGUGGUGUUUCGACUAAUGUAAUCUUGUUUCCAAUUCCAAGCCUCCUCCAAAACUUGCAAGUGAAUAGAGAUGAGAGUUGAAUGUAGAUAACAUUGUACGUUCAAGCACAAAGAAAAUGGUAGCAUUUGAGAUGAACAGUUAUUCGUGAAACUAAACCUUCUGGUCUCAGCAGUUGAGGUUCCUUGGAGGCAUGUAUAUUAAGCGAAUGUUUCAGUUUACACUUCUCAGGAAGUUACACAAGAUUCGUUAUAGCCUUGGUAGAUAGGUGAAAUUUCAAAACCUGCAUUUCAUUGUGACAUCGAUGAAUCAUAAACUGAAAUAUUUCAGCUGAUAUAUACAGUCUGGGUGCCUUUAUCUCAAUCUCAUGCAGAUCCGGACUAUACUGUGAAAUUGUGGUUAGCGAUACGGCCCGACCCAUCAAAGAAAGGCCAUGCAAGCUUGUGCGGGUAUUGUGCCAUGCCCACCAUGUGCUAUGUGCCGUGCCGUGUUGUCUAUUUUUCUUUUUUUAAGUUAGGCUUGGCCUGGAACAUGCGCUGUUCCCACACAUGCCGCGAGCCAAGCUAGGCUGUGUCAUGCCUUGGCUAAGAAAAAACCGUAAGACAAGUUUUUUUCUUUUUCUUUUUUAAUUUUUUUAAGAGAGCAUGCCAAGUUAUUAGCAUAUUUUUUUCAAGUCUAUGUAUAUUUUUUGGGUUUACAUGUCUUUAGUCAAAUUCAAUAGAAUUAAAAAUUCAGAAUUCAAGUUCAUAUUCAAUAAUAAUAAACUAAUAAUAGUAAGAGAAUGUAAUGCUAGCUAGGGGUAGGCAAAAUAUUCGACCUGAACCGAAAAUUUUCGAGUUCGGAUCGAAUGAAUAAAACUCGAUUGGGUGCAUUUGUGUCAACCCGAUUGGAUCGUGAACUGUAAAGUGUGAACCACUAAGGCUAAACAAGCAACUAAACUCCAAAUUUUACACACCACACACACAAACCAUUACAAACAAACACUGCCAUUAACAAUAGCAGCACACGACACAAGCACUCAAGCAACUAGCCCAUUACCGACUGGCAACAUACACGACCACACCUACCCACAGGCUCUGUUGCUCGCAUCCCACUACCGACAGGCGAUAGCCACACGGCCCACACCCAAAUCCAAACAAAUGAAACACAAACAGUAAAAUACACAAAGUUCACAGAGCAAGCUUCAUCCAGUCACCAUACACAUCAAUCGCCGCCAAGAAUGACAAACUGAAGCUGAUUCACGAGGAUCAUGACCCAAUCUACCGAUCUACUGUUACCAAGCAUCGGAUUGGUUGCGCCACCUCCACGCCUCCAAGCCUCCAAUCCUCCACUCCACCAUCACCCGAUCUGAUUAAAGCUCCAUCUGGCAAGCUACCUUCGAUUCAAGCUCCAUUUGGCUGUUAACUUUGAGUUUUGGAAGCCUUGGCCUUUGAUACUUAAUAGUGAUGGUAUAUAUAUAUAUAUAUAUUAUAUGUUAUAUGUGAAAGUGAAAUGUUAAUUGUAAUUUGGUAUGUUAAUAAUAUGUAAUUAUAUAUUGUUAAAUUUUAACAAUAAAAUGAAAAAAGACCAGGCAUUGGUUUUUUUU
rnacentral:lncRNA from 1 species